CUGAUGUCCUGACAUUUUAUCCUACCCCUCAGAUUAUACUGCCAACACUGCAUUUAAAUGGUUCUGAGGUUUGGGUUAGGGAUAAAGUCGUUACAAUAUUACAGCUUCAUAUCACAUUAAUCCACAUUAAAAUUAACACUGGUAGCCGAAUCUGAUGGGUAGCAUGUUGCGUCAUCGAAAUGUGCUACCUGCUUUUUGAAUAAGAGGUAGGACAAUCUGACAAGGUAGGACAAAUUGACAGAACACCAG
rnacentral:lncRNA from 1 species